rnacentral:rRNA from 1 species
AAAUUGAAGAGUUUGAUCAUGGCUCAGAUUGAACGCUGGCGGCAGGCCUAACACAUGCAAGUCGAACGGUAACAGGAAACAGCUUGCUGUUUCGCUGACGAGUGGCGGACGGGUGAGUAAUGUCUGGGAAACUGCCUGAUGGAGGGGGAUAACUACUGGAAACGGUAGCUAAUACCGCAUAACGUCGCAAGACCAAAGAGGGGGACCUUCGGGCCUCUUGCCAUCGGAUGUGCCCAGAUGGGAUUAGCUAGUAGGUGGGGUAACGGCUCACCUAGGCGACGAUCCCUAGCUGGUCUGAGAGGAUGACCAGCCACACUGGAACUGAGACACGGUCCAGACUCCUACGGGAGGCAGCAGUGGGGAAUAUUGCACAAUGGGCGCAAGCCUGAUGCA